rnacentral:rRNA from 1 species
AGAGUUUGAUCAUGGCUCAGGACGAACGCUGGCGGCGUGCUUAACACAUGCAAGUCGAGCGAGAAAGCACCUUCGGGUGUGAGUACAGCGGCGAACGGGUGAGUAACACGUGGGCAACCUGCCCCAAGGACCGGGACAACAGCUCGAAAGGGCUGCUAAUACCGGAUGUUGUGCGAUCUGCCAAGUGGGUCGCACCAAAUGGUAGCUUCGGCCUCCGCCUUGGGACGGGCCCGCGGCGCAUUAGCUUGUUGGUGAGGUAACGGCUCACCAAGGCAACGAUGGGUAGCUGGUCUGAGAGGACGAUCAGCCACACUGGGACUGAGACACGGCCCAGACUCCUACGGGAGGCAGCAGUGGGGAAUCUUGCGCAAUGCGCGAAAGCGUGACGCAGCAACGCCGCGUGAGGGAAGAAGGCCUUCGGGUUGUAAACCUCUUUCAGGAGGGACGAAGGUUCAGGCGCGAAUAGCGUCCUGGACUGACGGUACCUCCAGAAGAAGCCCCGGCUAACUACGUGCCAGCAGCCGCGGUAAUA